rnacentral:rRNA from 1 species
UACGUAGGGGGCAAGCGUUGUCCGGAAUCAUUGGGCGUAAAGAGCGUGUAGGCGGUCCGGUCAGUCGGUUGUGAAAGUCAAGGGCUCAACCCUUGAAUGCCGGCCGAUACUGCCGGGCUAGAGUCCGGAAGAGGUGAGUGGAAUUCCUGGUGUAGCGGUGAAAUGCGCAGAUAUCAGGAGAACAGCCGAGUGCAAGGCGCUGCAGCUGGGACGGUACUGACGCUGAGAACGCGGAAAGCAGUGGGGAGCAAACAGG